UAAAUUGAUAUAUUGUAAUUUAAAUAUAUAUUUUAAAUGUCAGUUUACUGACUACGACGAUAAACGAAUUUCGUAAUAACCAUUACGGACGUGGGGGCAGUACCCACCACCUCCACCAUUUACAGUUAAGGGGGGUGAAAUAGGAUCGACGGGUGACUAAAGGCUAUUCUUUCGUUCGGGAUUGUUCCACCGUAACGGGCUAAACUUUAAAUGCUGACGAAAGUUACGCACUUGCUGCAUAAUUAACUUAGGUUAAUUAUAGAAGCACGGUCUGGGGCACCGGGUAACAGAACGCCCCUACU
rnacentral:tmRNA from 1 species